rnacentral:rRNA from 1 species
AUUGAACGCUGGCGGCAGGCCUAACACAUGCAAGUCGAACGAGUGGCGGACGGGUGAGUAAUGUCUGGGAAACUGCCUGAAGGAGGGGGAUAACUACUGGAAACGGUAGCUAAUACCGCAUACCAUCAGAUGUGCCCAGAUGGGAUUAGCUAGUUGGUGGGGUAACCGCUCACCAAGGCGACGAUCCCUAGCUGGUCUGAGAGGAUUACCACCCAAACUGGGACUGAGACACGGUCCAGACUCCUACGGUAGGCAUCAGUGGGGAAUAUUGCACAAUUGGCGCAAGCCUGAUACAUCCAUGCCGCGUGUAUGAAGAAGGCCUUCGGGUUGUAAAGUACUUUCAGCGGGGAGGCGUUACCCGCAGAAGAAGCACCGGCUAACUCCGUGCCAGCAGCCGCGGUAAUAC